GUGUGCGUAAUUUAAAAAAAAUAUCAAGUUGUGACCUUGAAAAUAGUUGACCUCGCACAC
rnacentral:tRNA from 1 species